GAUGAACGCUGGCGGCGUGCUUAACACAUGCAAGUCGAACGGAAAGGCUCCUGCUUGCAGGGGUACUCGAGUGGCGAACGGGUGAGUAACACGUGGGUGAUCUGCCCUGCACUUCGGGAUAAGCCUGGGAAACUGGGUCUAAUACCGGAUAGGACGAUGGUUUGGAUGCCAUUGUGGAAAGUUUUUCGGUGUGGGAUGAGCUCGCGGCCUAUCAGCUUGUUGGUGGGGUAAUGGCCUACCAAGGCGUCGACGGGUAGCCGGCCUGAGAGGGUGUACGGCCACAUUGGGACUGAGAUGCGGCCCAGACUCCUACGGGAGGCAGCAGUGGGGAAUAUUGCACAAUGGGCGCAAGCCUGAUGCAGCGACGCCGCGUGGGGGAUGACGGCCUUCGGGUUGUAAACUCCUUUCGCUAGGGACGAAGCGCAAGUGACGGUACCUGGAGAAGAAGCACCGGCUAACUACGUG
rnacentral:rRNA from 1 species